rnacentral:rRNA from 1 species
UACAGAGGUCUCAAGCGUUGUUCGGAUUCAUUGGGCGUAAAGGGUGCGUAGGCGGCACGGCAAGUCAGGAGUGAAAGGCCUGGGCUCAACCGAGGAACUGCUUUUGAGACUGCCGAGCUAGAGUGCAGAAGGGGCAACUGGAAUUCCCAGUGUAGCGGUGAAAUGCGUAGAUAUUGGGAAGAACACCUGAGGCGAAGGCGGGUUGCUGGGCUGACACUGACGCUGAGGCGCGAAAGCCAGGGGAGCAAACGGG